UGAAGAAGGUUAGAUCACAUGCUGCCUGGGUUCUAGUCCUGAAGAAGGUUAGAUCACAUGCUGCCUGGGUUCUAGUCCUGAAUAGGGUUAGAUUACAUGCUGCCUGGGUUCUAGUCCUGAAUAGGGUUAGAUUACAUGCUGCCUGGGUUCUAGUCCUGAAGAAGGUUAGAUCACAUGCUGCCUGGGUUCUAGUCCUGAAGAAGGUUAGAUUACAUGCUGCCUGGGUUCUAGUCCUGAAGAAGGUUAGAUCACAUGCUGCCUGGGUUCUAGUCCUGAAGAAGGUUAGAUUACAUGCUGCCUGGGUUCUAGUCCUGAAGAAGGUUAGAUUACAUGCUGCCUGGGUUCUAGUCCUGAAUAGGGUUAGAUUACAUGCUGCCUGGGUUCUAGUCUCGAAGAAGGUUAGAUUACAUGCUGCCUGGGUUCUAGUCCUGAAUAGGGUUAGAUUACAUGCUGCCUGGGUUCUAGUCCAGAGACUCGUUGACUUCCUUCUAUUGUGUUUUAUUUUUGUAAUUUUUGCAUUAAAAAAACGAAUGGUGUUUAACUAACAUGUUAAAUCUUACAACCUGCUGUACAGACGUCCAUAUCACAGACAUACUGUAGCUACACAAUACAGACGUACAGGGCCUUCAGAGAGUAUUCAUACCCCUUGACUUAUUCCACAUUUGGUUGUUUUACAGCCUGAAUUCAAAAUGGAUUUUUUUAUUUUCACCGAUCUACACAAUUGGGCAAAAUUCCAAAGUGAAAACAUGUUUUUAGAAAUGUUGGCUAUUUUAUUGAAAAUUAAAUACAGAAUUGUCUCUUUUUUUCUAUAUGAGUAUUCACACCCCUAAGUCAAUAUUUUGUAGAAGCACCUCUGGGUGAGUCUCUAAGAGCUGGAUUGAUCAUUGAUAGACAACCAUUUUCAGGUCUUGCUAUAGAUGUUCAAGUAGAUUUAAGUUAAAACUGUAACUCUGCCACUCUGGAACAUUUACUGUCUUCUUGGUAAGCAACUGUCUUCCUCUCUGGCAACUGAGUUAGGAAGAAGGACGCCUGUAUAUUUGUAGUGACUGGGUGUAUUGAUACACCGGUAGUGUAAUGAAUAACUUCACCACGAUCGAAGGGUUACCCAGUGUCUGUUUUUUAUAUGUUUACACCAUCUACCAAUAGGUGACCUUCUUUGCAAAAACAUUGGAAAACCUCCCUGGUCUUUGUGGUUAAAUCUGGGAUUGAAAUUCACUGCUCAUCUGAGGAACCUUACAGAUAAUUGUAUGUGUGGAGAACAGAGAUGAGAUAGUCAUUAAAAAAUCAUGUUUAAACACUAUUUUUACACACAGAGUGAAUCCAUGCAACUUAUUAUGCAAAUAUUUACUCCUGAUUUAGACUUGCUGUAACAACGGGGUUUGGAUACUUAUUGACUCAAGACAUUUCAGUUUUUCAUUUUUAAUUACUGUGUAAAAAAAUAAUAAUUUAAAAACAUAAUUCCACUUUGACAUUAUGGGGUAUUGUGAUGUCACGAUGGGGUAUUGUGAUGUCACGAUGGGGUAUUGUGAUGUCACGAUGGGGUAUUGUGAUGUCACGAUGGGGUAUUGUGAUGUCACGAUGGGGUAUUGUGAUGUCACGAAGGGGUAUUGUGAUGUCACGAUGGGGUAUUGUGAUGUCACGAUGGGGUAUUGUGAUGUCACGAUGGGGUAUUGUGAUGUCACGAUGGGAUAUUGUGUGUAGAGGCCAGUGAUACAGAACCUCAAUUGAAUAAAUUUUAAAAUUCUGUAACAACAACAAAAUGUGGAGAAAGUCAAUGGGUGUGAGACUUUAAAGGCGUUGUACAUAUAUCAGAGACGUAUAUUACAGACUUACAUAUUACAGAUUGACAUAUUAUAGACAUACAUAUUAAGCCCUUUUUAUUAAGCCCAUAUUAAGCCCUGGGGGUGAUAAUUCCAUAGCCAACGUUCUAUAGUAAUACCAGUCCCCUGUGAAUAGGGCUCUACUGUACAUUAAGACACUGUAGUGUUUUACACAGUGAUAUAAAUAUGAAAAAAGACGCAGUCCUCGGUAGUAGACCGUGACACACACACACACAGAGAUAGACACACAAACACUGACCAUAACAGAAUCAUUUGCACAACAUCUAUGCGAAAUGCCUAAAGUUGUAUAUGAAUAUAUAUUUAAUUGCGUUAAUAGUUGCGGCCUGCGCUAGGAGGCAGCAGCGUUGUUGGUUUAGUAGCUAUACUGAAUGCCCAAAAGAAAUGUUUUACAUAAUGUAUUGUUUGAGUGGGAUUUUGUUGUACUGCAGCUUUGCUUUAAAACAGAAGAUGUGUGCUUGGCUGGUCAACCAACCCCCCCCUAUGACCCUAACAUGCUAGCUAGAUAGCCUGGAAGGAAAGGUUGGAACACACAGGGUCUUGUUGCCGCGGCAACCUUCAAAUCCUGCUUUCAUUUUAAAUUUACAUAUAUAUAUUUUUCUUUUUAGAUGUUACCAUAGAAACCAGUUCCCAGAAGAUGAUGUCUAAAAUUUUAACUGUGUUCCUGUACAUUUUAAAGAUGAAAUAGCCUAUUUUAAAGAUGAAAUAGCCUAUUUUAAAGAAGAAAUACCCUAUUUUAAAGAAGAAAUACCCUAUUUGAAUGUUUUUUUAAAUGUCAUUUGUACUGUAAAUACAAUCCUCGUGGGAAGUAUAAUGUCAUGCUUGAGUCACCCUGGCCCUAGAACAUGAGGCGUAGAGUGCACACCAGUUAUUCUGUCUGAACUACGUUUUUAAUCCACUAUUUGAAAUUGAAAUUGAGUACAUGGGCUUUUUUUCUCAUUCCUUAAUUUCAGAAUAAUCUUUUAUUUUUUUUACCAAAGAUACUGAGGAAACCUUUUUAUCAGCUCCAGGAUUCUGAACCGUCCCUUUUGCAGCAGCAAUUUAAUCGAUAAUCAGACCAUUUCCUUUCUCUAAGAAACUGCACAUUCUCUUGUGCUAAGAGUAUAGUAUAAGAGGUGUGUGUGUGUGUGUGUGUUGGUUAGGAUAGCUUAACAGGGUGAGUUACACCAGAGCCCCCCACGUGAAUGUUUUGGUUUUUGCCCCUAGCACUAAACAGCUGAUUUCAAAUAAUCAACGCUUGAUGAUAAAUUGGUUAAUUUAAUCCGCUGUGUAGUGCUUAGGGCAAAAAAACAAAGGACUGAGUUUGGGAAACACUGAGUUACACCAUGCCAAAUUAACCUGUCAUACUUGCUGCCAUGGCAACAUUACAAUAUAUCACGCAGACCCAUCAGCCAAGAUACUGAAACCAUCCAACCAACACACACACACACACACACACACACUCAGAGACAAUUCUGGAGACUCCCUAAACUAAUUCUCAUCUCUCGCUCGACUUCAUAUGUACCCGGUCAGGGUGACUCUGUGGGUGUUUCUGCGUACUAGCGUGCGCCGAGCACUGGAGGGUCGGAGCAGGAGUCCAAAUCAAAGUAUGUGAAACAGAGGACGGAUGGCACUUCUCUAAAACAUCGAUGCUUCAGCAGAAAGUAUCCAAGAAAAAAUAUGAUGCAAAAACCACGUAAAAAAAAUGAAAUGACAUUUCUUGAAAUCGAUGGCGGACAUUAUUUGAGCUAAAGCGAGAGAAAAUAACACUCUUGACUUCCGAAUGAAAUGUCGCCUAUUCAAAUCACAUAUGUUGCCUGACUACAAUAUUUUAUCUUAAUAAAUCAGUAACUAGAUGCUGUAUUAAUCUUGGCGUGUUUUACCUACCUACAUACCGUAGAUCACAAGUCCAUAAUAAGUCUAUAGGGCUAACAGGCUAGCAACUAGUACUGUUAGCUAGGCAGAUAGCCACAAAGAAUUGUUAGCUAGCUACCCACGAAGAGUUGACAUCUCCGACUCUCCACAGUUUUAGGUCAUGUUUGCCUGUUUAAACUAUCUGGUUAGCUACAUUAUUACAAUUCACAUACGUAGCUGAAAGUUAUGAACUAAAAUGUUUGCUUUGUGCGUAUCUCGUUUGGUCUCUAUUGUUGCAAUUGUCCUGGCUGGAAGAAGGGUCAGUGAACGGGGAGGUGCAGCAUGAGGUAAUACAGUAGGGGGAGGAGUAGCGUGAGGUAAUACAGUAGGGGGAGUGCUGCUCAGCAUGAGGUAAUACAGUAGGGGGAGGUGCAGCAUGAGGUAAUACAGUAGGGGAGGUGCAGCAUGAGGUAAUACACUAGGGGAGGUGCUGCUCAGUGUGAGGUAUUACAGUAGGGGAGUGCAGCGUGAGGUAUUACAGUAGGGGGAGUGCAGUGUGAGGUAUUACAGUAGGGGGAGUGCUGCUCAGUGUGAGGUAUUACAGUAGGGGGAGUGCAGUGUGAGGUAUUACAGUAGGGGGAGUGCAGUGUGAGGUAUUACAGUAGGGGAGGUGCAGCGUGAGCUAAUACAGUAGGGGAGUGCUGCUCAGCGUGAGGUAAUACAGUAGGGGGAGUGCUGCUCAGCGUGAGGUAAUACAGUAGGGG
ensembl:lncRNA